rnacentral:rRNA from 1 species
UUACGGCCAUAUCACGUUGAAACACCAGUUCCCGUACGAUCACCGAAGUUAAGCAAUAUCGCGCCUGAUCAGUAUCUAGAUGAGUGACCGCUUGGGAAUACCAGGUGCUGU